CAGAACAUUUUACACUAAACACUGUUUCACCUCACUGAAGAUCAGGAUCACGUGAAACUCCUGGAGAACAGAGCGUAAAGCGGUGUACCACUGAUGAUGUGAUAAAGCUUUAAGCCUGUAAGAUGAGGUGUUGAGUGAGGGGGCGGAGCUGAGUGUGUGUACAGAGUAGAGAGGAUCAGCACACUGUCAUGCUGGUGUACUAAAGAGUCAGUGUGUUCUUCUCCCAGUGUGUGCUACACCACCAUGAUCAUUUUCACUGUACUGCUGCUCUCUGCUCUUACAGGUAACAGAGCUGAAGACGUCAUCACUCCUAGCAGAGACGCUGUUUUUGCUGUUGAAGGUCAGAAUGUUUCCCUCUCCUGUAACUACACUGUAACUGGAGCUGUAAACAGUUAUGCUUUUCACUGGUAUCGACAGUAUUCAGGAUCAUCUCCUCAGUUCCUCAUACUGGACUAUGCAGGGAGCAUUACUGAAGCUCAACCUCCAGUUCCUAGAAUAUCCAUCAACCAUCAAAAAGAAAAAAGGAAAGUGGAUCUGAUCAUCUCCUCUACUGCAGUAUCAGACUCUGCUCUCUACUACUGCGCUCUGCAGCCCACAGUGACAGAAACCCACCAAACACUGUACUAAAACUUUACUUGUGAAAUAUGUAGAAACACUUAUAUUUCAGGAGGGGGCGCUGUUUCUCUUCUGCUUCUUUAUCUUCAGCUUCCUCACCAUUCAGGUUAGAACAUCAGUCUGCUUUGGGACAUCAGUCAUCAUGUUGUGAACUACAGUAAAGUGGAACUCUCUAUAACCCUUUAUAAAUGUUUACAGAUACUUCUGUAAAA